UUUACGGUGCCUGAUUAAAGGAUAGUCUUGAUAGGACUAAUUAUGUAAAUUACCCCAAAUUACCCGUAAUA
rnacentral:tRNA from 1 species